rnacentral:rRNA from 1 species
UACAGAGGGGCAAGCGUUAUUCGGAAUUAUUGGGCGUAAAAGGGCGCGUAGGCGGCCAUUCAAGUGACGGGUGAAAGCCCUCGGCUUAACCGAGGAACUGCCUGUCAGACUGGAUGGCUUGAGACCGGGAGAGGUGAGUGGAAUUCCAGUGUAGCGGUGAAAUGCGUAGAUAUUGGGAGGAACACCAGUGGCGAAGGCGGCUCACUGGACCGGAACUGACGCUGAGGCG